CUUUUAUUCUCUCUUUACUGACCUGGCGAUCGUAAUUGAUCUGAGUUUCCUGCUCAAUAUCAGAGUCCAGUUCCGGAACGUCAGAGAAGUCAGAGUCAGAUUCCUCACUAUAGGAGUCGGCACCACCUUCUGCAGAGACAGAACCCGUUAGAACGGAAAAUGCGGAGAUGUUGAAGAUCACAGAAGUACUGCAGAACUAUAUAGGACAGCAAAAGGAGAGGACUGAGCAGCAUGUUCUAUGUGAGACAGGUGAAAAAUAAGUGCAGACACAAGAAAAUGGAAGUGUCUGGAGAAGAGCGCUGGGCAACAGCGUAGACAUCUACAGGGCCAUCAUUGGAUCCUACUGCG
rnacentral:lncRNA from 1 species